rnacentral:rRNA from 1 species
AUUGAACGCUGGCGGCAGGCCUAACACAUGCAAGUCGAACGGUAACAGGAAGAAGCUUGCUUCUUUGCUGACGAGUGGCGGACGGGUGAGUAAUGUCUGGGAAACUGCCUGAUGGAGGGGGAUAACUACUGGAAACGGUAGCUAAUACCGCAUAACGUCGCAAGACCAAAGAGGGGGACCUUCGGGCCUCUUGCCAUCGGAUGUGCCCAGAUGGGAUUAGCUAGUAGGUAGGGUAACGGCUCACCUAGGCGACGAUCCCUAGCUGGUCUGAGAGGAUGACCAGCCACACUGGAACUGAGACACGGUCCAGACUCCUACGGGAGGCAGCAGUGGGGAAUAUUGCACAAUGGGCGCAAGCCUGAUGCAGCCAUGCCGCGUGUAUGAAGAAGGCCUUCGGGUUGUAAAGUACUUUCAGCGGGGAGGAAGGGAGUAAAGUUAAUACCUUGACUCAUUGACGUUACCCGCAGAAGAAGCACCGGCUAACUCCGUG